GAUGAAGAACGUAGCGAAAUGCGAUACUUGGUGUGAAUUGCAGAAUCCCGUGAACCAUCGAGUCUUUGAACGCAAGUUGCGCCUCAAGCCAUUAGGUUGAGGGCACGUCUGCCUGGGCGUCACAUAUCGUUGCCUGAUGCCAGUUUCCUCGUGAUGGGUGACUGUGCAGGGCGAAUGAUGGCUUCCCGUGAGCAUUGUUGCCUCAUGGUUGGUUGAAAAUUGAGUCCUUGGUAGGGAGCGCCGUGAUAGAUGGUGGUUGAGUGACGAACGAGACCUAAUCAUGUGAGACCCCUACCGAAUUUGGCCUUCAUGACCCACAUGCGUCUUUGGAACGCUCAUGACGAGACCUCAGGUCAGGCGGGGCUACCCGCUGAGUUUAAGCAUAUCAAUAAGCGGAGGA
rnacentral:misc_RNA from 1 species